rnacentral:rRNA from 1 species
UACGUAGGGUGCAAGCGUUAAUCGGAAUUACUGGGCGUAAAGCGUGCGCAGGCGGUUGUGCAAGACAGAUGUGAAAUCCCCGGGCUUAACCUGGGAACUGCAUUUGUGACUGCACGGCUAGAGUGCGGCAGAGGGGGAUGGAAUUCCGCGUGUAGCAGUGAAAUGCGUAGAUAUGCGGAGGAACACCAAUGGCGAAGGCAAUCCCCUGGGCCUGCACUGACGCUCAUGCACGAAAGCGUGGGGAGCAAACAGG